GGAAAUGUGCCUGAGAACUAAGGGCCACUAUGAUAAAGUGGACACAGAGGUACACCAACCCUCUCAUUUCCU
rnacentral:tRNA from 1 species